AGUCAUUGUUUUCGCCUGCUUUCCUUCCCGAGCCGCCGCCGCCGCCGCUCCCCUUCUGCCUGUCUUUUCUCUUUCCUCCUGCUCUCUCUUUCUACAGGCUCCGUCUAACCUCCCCCCCCCCUUUCCUCAAGGGAAUAAAGGUCGUAACGCAAAUGAUUACUCAAACCCGAGUUGCCAUAGAAACGCAGUCAUGUGACUGGAGCAGGCAUGCAUAGAGCACAACAAAGAGGUGGAUCAGGAACCAGCGCUGGGAAGAGCUGUAGCUCGCCUUACUGGUGCCUCGGCGCAUUUCACUCAAAUUCGAGCUUUUAAAAAUAGGCGAGCAGCAUGAAACGCGAAGGGGGGAGAGGAGCGGAGAGGACACAGCUGAAAGGAGCCGGGGACGAGGGGCUGCGCCGAAUCUGGGCUGUAGCACUGCAGUGUGCCAUAUAUUCUGCCAUUCACCAGCAUACCAAGGACGCUGACGAGGAACCGACCCGGAGACGCAAACACGCAGCGUGCGGGAAAGGGGUGAGCGUGACCCCUUCACCGACUCCCGGCCAUUUCCCUUCCAAAGUCCAGCUCAACUCCCAUGGGGCUUCGGGCAGCAGCUGAGUGUUCAGUGAUGUCUGCAAUUAUCCCGUGUCUAGACAAUGUCUAGUGGAAGACAAGGAGAUGCACAGCCUGCGCUCUAUAGAAGAAAAGGCCCAGAAUAGACCAGUGUGUCUUUCAGUUGGUGACAUGGUGGUGGAUGAAAAGGUUAGGGCCAGACCAGGAACUCAGCCAACGGGCUCCAGCAUUUGGGAUUAGUCAAGAGGGUUCACAUGAAAGACAAUGCUGUCUGAAUGAUAAAAAAAUGAUUUAAAAAAGGGUUUAUAACAUUUAAUAAUUAAAAUCAAUUAAAUAGAAGAAAAAGUGUUGGUUUUAGAGUAUAAGGCAACGCUUCCAUUAUUCGUCCAUAAACCUGCAGGUGAUUGGUUGAAAACAGAAAUAGUUAAGAAAAUAAAAUUGCUUGUGAAGAA